rnacentral:rRNA from 1 species
AUUGAACGCUGGCGGAAUGCUUUACACAUGCAAGUCGAACGGCAGCACGGGGCAACCUGGUGGCGAGUGGCGAACGGGUGAGUAAUACAUCGGAACGUGCCCAAUCGUGGGGGAUAACGUAGCGAAAGUUACGCUAAUACCGCAUACGAUCUACGGAUGAAAGCGGGGGAUCGCAAGACCUCGCGCGAAUGGAGCGGCCGAUGUCAGAUUAGGUAGUUGGUGGGGUAAAGGCUCACCAAGCCGACGAUCUGUAGCUGGUCUGAGAGGACGACCAGCCACACUGGGACUGAGACACGGCCCAGACUCCUACGGGAGGCAGCAGUGGGGAAUUUUGGACAAUGGGCGCAAGCCUGAUCCAGCCAUUCCGCGUGCAGGAUGAAGGCCUCGGUUGUAACGU